GGUGGAGCACGAGGCCGGUUUACCCCCGUUUUGAUUUCAAGCUUGAUAUCUCAAGCUACCAGUCACCACUCCUCACCAAACUCCAUCCACAAGCUCGCCUCAACGUCCUGAAGCUCCCAGAAGUGGCCUUGCACGGCGGCGCUACUCGUGGUGGCGGCUGGAAGCCAGACCCGAUCAAAUCGAAAACCGAAGCUUCGAGCAAUAUAUCUCGCGCUACAGGACGUUGUUUUGAGUGUUUCUUGAACUGGUGAACUCAGAGUGAGGAUCUGAACAACUUUCCAGAAGGUAUCGAGGCCUGAAGUUGCAGUUUUUACGUCGAACUAGGAGCUCGCCGGUUUCUGGGUUUUUCCGGCCAACCGACUGGUUUGAGGUGAUCGACGGUUUGAUUUGGCGGACGAUUCGUGAAAGUGUAUUUUGAGCUGUUAAGAAGACGCAGCGGGAAUUUAGAGCGGGAAAUCCUACAGGUCAGGAGAACCAGGACGGUGAUCGGGCUGCUUAGAGUAGUGUUAUGUGAAUUACAGCAUUAUAUUGUGAGGUUUGUUAUGCUCAUUUAGAGCUUUGCAAUUUUACUUUGUAAGAGUGAAUUGUAAUAAUUAACUCGAGGUUUUCGAGUUUUUGUGUUGAGUGGCGAG